UCGCCUUCUCGUCUGAACAAGAACAGCCUUUGACAGGAUACAAUGACAGGAGCUUAGUAUCUGAUACGGGUCCUAUUUGGACCCAAGAUAUUAAACUUAUUUUUGGAAUGGGGCGGAGUGCUUGAAGCUUGCUUCACCUCCGCCACGGGUUGGCCCGGUAUUGCACUUCUCCGGGAUCGGCCCACUCACC